CACAGCUGGAAGUACGGGCAAAUGUGCUAGUGCAAAAAGUUUGCAGCAGUGCCGCGAAUGAAAAGGCAGCAAAAGGGCACCAGUGAAAAGGGAACUAUUCGGUGUAUGUGCAUGGAACAGCAGGGUUGGACCAUAAGGACAAUAAGGAGGAAACCGUGGAAGAGGCAGAAUCGGAGCGCGGAAGAGCCUUUUCUACGUCUCGCCCCACCGGCAGCAUAUCAUCGGCAGCACCCCAACGAGGGAUGUUCGCAGUGUUCGAUAGCGUAAGUUAUUAGUGAAG